UACGUAGGGUGCAAGCGUUAAUCGGAAUUACUGGGCGUAAAGCGCUCGCAGGCGGUUUUUUGAGUCUGCUGUGAAAUCCCCGGGCUUAACCUGGGAAUGGCGAUGGAGACUGCAAGGCUAGAGUUUGGCAGAGGGGGGUAGAAUUCCACGUGUAGCAGUGAAAUGCGUAGAGAUGUGGAGGAACACCGAUGGCGAAGGCAGCCCCCUGGGUCAAAACUGACGCUCAUGCACGAAAGCGUGGGGAGCAAACAGG
rnacentral:rRNA from 1 species